rnacentral:rRNA from 1 species
CACUCCUGCGGGAGGCAGCAGUGGGGAAUUUUGGACAAUGGGCGAAAGCCUGAUCCAGCAAUGCCGCGUGCAGGAUGAAGGCCUUCGGGUUGUAAACUGCUUUUGUACGGAACGAAAAAGCUCCUUCUAAUACAGGGGGCCCAUGACGGUACCGUAAGAAUAAGCACCGGCUAACUACGUGCCAGCAGCCGCGGUAAUACGUAGGGUGCGAGCGUUAAUCGGAAUUACUGGGCGUAAAGCGUGCGCAGGCGGUUAUGUAAGACAGAUGUGAAAUCCCCGGGCUCAACCUGGGAACUGCAUUUGUGACUGCAUGGCUAGAGUACGGUAGAGGGGGAUGGAAUUCCGCGUGUAGCAGUGAAAUGCGUAGAUAUGCGGAGGAACACCGAUGGCGAAGGCAAUCCCCUGGACCUGUACUGACGCUCAUGCACGAAAGCGUGGGGAGCAAACAGGAUUAGAAACCCCAGUAGUCCCAUG